GCAAGGGGUGACUGCGUACCUUUUGUAUAAUGGGUCAGCGACUUACAUUCAGUGGCAAGCUUAACCGAAUAGGGAAGGCGUAGGGAAACCGAGUCCGAAUAGGGCGAUUCAGUCGCUGGGUGUAGACCCGAAACCAAGUGAUCUAUCCAUGGCCAGGAUGAAGGUGCCGUAACAGGUACUGGAGGUCCGAACCGACUAGUGUUGCAAAACUAGCGGAUGAGCUGUGGAUAGGGGUGAAAGGCUAAACAAACUUGGAAAUAGCUGGUUCUCUCCGAAAACUAUUUAGGUAGUGCCUCAAGUAUUACCGUCGGGGGUAGAGCACUGUUUUGGCUAGGGGGUCAUGGCGACUUACCAAACCAAGGCAAACUCCGAAUACCGACGAGUACAGCUUGGGAGACAGAGCACCGGGUGCUAACGUCCGGACUCAAGAGGGAAACAACCCAGACCGCCAGCUAAGGUCCCUAAAAUUGGCUAAGUGGGAAACGAAGUGGGAAGGCUAAAACAGUCAGGAUGUUGGCUUAGAAGCAGCCAUCAUUUAAAGAAAGCGUAAUAGCUCACUGAUCGAGUCGUCCUGCGCGGAAGAUGUAACGGGGCUAAGCCAGUUACCGAAGCUGCGGAUUUGCAAUUUAUUGCAAGUGGUAGGAGAGCGUUCUGUAAGCCUGUGAAGGUGGUGGUGUAAACCCUGCUGGAGGUAUCAGAAGUGCGAAUGCUGACAUGAGUAGCGUUAAAGGGGGUGAAAAGCCCCCUCGCCGUAAGCGCAAGGUUUUCUACGCAACGUUCAUCGGCGUAGAGUGAGUCGGCCCCUAAGGCGAGGCAGAAAUGCGUAGUUGAUGGGAAACAGGUCAAUAUUCCUGUACCGAUGUGUAGUGCGAUGUGGGGACGGAGAAGGUUAGCUCAGCCAACUGUUGGAUAUGUUGGUUCAAGCCUGUAGUCGUGCCUGGUAGGUAAAUCCGCCGGGCUUAGAUGAGGGGUGAUAACGAGGAGGCUUGCCUCCGAAGUGAGUGAUACCCUGCUUCCAGGAAAAGCCACUAAGCUUCAGCUGCACACGACCGUACCGCAAACCGACACUGGUGCGCGAGAUGAGUAUUCUAAGGCGCUUGAGAGAACUCAGGAGAAGGAACUCGGCAAAUUGACACCGUAACUUCGGAAGAAGGUGUGCCUUUAGUAGGUGAAGUCCCUUGCGGAUGGAGCCCAAUGAGGUUGCAAAAAAUCGGUGGCUGCGACUGUUUAUUAAAAACACAGCACUCUGCAAACACGAAAGUGGACGUAUAGGGUGUGACGCCUGCCCGGUGCUGGAAGAUUAAAUGAUGGGGUGCAAGCUCUUGAUUGAAGUCCCAGUAAACGGCGGCCGUAACUAUAACGGUCCUAAGGUAGCGAAAUUCCUUGUCGGGUAAGUUCCGACCUGCACGAAUGGCGUAACGAUGGCCACACUGUCUCCUCCUGAGACUCAGCGAAGUUGAAAUGUUUGUGAUGAUGCAAUCUCCCCGCGGAAAGACGGAAAGACCCCAUGAACCUUUACUGUAGCUUUGUAUUGGACUUUGAACAGAUCUGUGUAGGAUAGGUGGGAGGCUUUGAAGCAGGGUCGCUAGAUCUUGUGGAGCCAACGUUGAAAUACCACCCUGGUGUGUUUGAGGUUCUAACCUAGGCCCGUAAUCCGGGUUGGGGACAGUGCAUGGUAGGCAGUUUGACUGGGGCGGUCUCCUCCCAAAGUGUAACGGAGGAGUUCGAAGGUACGCUAGUUACGGUCGGACAUCGUGACGAUAGUGCAAUGGCAUAAGCGUGCUUAACUGCGAGACUGACAAGUCGAGCAGAUGCGAAAGCAGGACAUAGUGAUCCGGUGGUUCUGUAUGGAAGGGCCAUCGCUCAACGGAUAAAAGGUACUCUGGGGAUAACAGGCUGAUACCGCCCAAGAGUUCAUAUCGACGGCGGUGUUUGGCACCUCGAUGUCGGCUCAUCUCAUCCUGGGGCUGUAGCCGGUCCCAAGGGUAUGGCUGUUCGCCAUUUAAAGAGGUACGUGAGCUGGGUUUAAAACGUCGUGAGACAGUUUGGUCCCUAUCUUCCGUGGGCGCUGCAGAUUUGAGGAAGCCUGCUCCUAGUACGAGAGGACCGGAGUGGACGCACCUCUGGUGUAUCGGUUGUCACGCCAGUGGCAUUGCCGAGUAGCUAUGUGCGGAAGAGAUAACCGCUGAAAGCAUCUAAGCGGGAAACUCGUUUCAAGAUGAGAUCUGCCGGGGCCUUGA
rnacentral:rRNA from 1 species